AACGAACGCUGGCGGCAGGCCUAACACAUGCAAGUCGAGCGCCCCGCGAGGGGAGCGGCGGACGGGUGAGUAACGCGUGGGAACGUGCCCCUUGGUACGGAAUAGCCCUGGGAAACUGGGGGUAAUACCGUAUGUGGUCUACGGACGAAAGAUUUAUCGCCUUGGGAUCGGCCCGCGUUGGAUUAGGUAGUUGGUGGGGUAAUGGCCUACCAAGCCGACGAUCCAUAGCUGGUUUGAGAGGAUGAUCAGCCACACUGGGACUGAGACACGGCCCAGACUCCUACGGGAGGUAGCAGUGGGGAAUCUUGGACAAUGGGCGCAAGCCUGAUCCAGCCAUGCCGCGUGAGCGAUGAAGGCCUUCGGGUUGUAAAGCUCUUUCGUGGGGGAAGAUAAUGACUGUACCCCAAGAAGAAGCCCCGGCUAACUCCGUG
rnacentral:rRNA from 1 species